CUUCUAAUUAAAAUAAGAAUUAACUUCAUACAGGUCCCUACAAAUAUAGUGAAUGAUAUAUAUAUUCCUAUAAAAUUCAAUUUUUAUAUAUUGUCCCUACAAAAGCUUUAAUAUUUUCAAAUAUAUCCCUCUGAUUUGUUAUCAUUAGAGAACAUUUAGAGAAUUAUUUAUAUUUUCAAUUUUGCCAUCACAAAUAUGUUUUUCCAAAAGCCAUAACAGUAUAAUAUAAGAGGGAUAAAUAUGUCAAAAAAUAAUCAGAGUUAAGUAUUUAAUCUAUGAUUAACUAAAUUUUUUUAACAAAUUCUAACGACAGAGACAUAAUUUGAAAAUAUCAGGACUUUUGAGAGAACAAUAUAUAAAAGUUGAACUUUAUAGAGAUAUAUUUACUGUUCACUAUAUUUAUUGUGACCUGCAUGAAAUUAACCCUUAAAAUAAAUAUUAAUAA
rnacentral:lncRNA from 1 species